UACAGAGGGUGCAAGCGUUAAUCGGAAUUACUGGGCGUAAAGCGUGCGUAGACGGUUAUGUAAGUCGGGUGUGAAGCCCGGGCUCAACCUGGGAAUGCCAUUCGAGACUGCAUAGCUAGGGUGCGGAAGAGGGAGCGGAAUUCCGGUGUAGCGGUGAAAUGCGUAGAUAUCGGAAGGAACACCAGUGGCGAAAGCGGCUUCCUGGUCCAGCACCGACGUCAGGCACGAAAGCGUGGGGAGCGAACGGG
rnacentral:rRNA from 1 species